rnacentral:rRNA from 1 species
UACAGGGGGUGCAAACGUUGCUCGGAAUCAUUGGGCGUAAAGCGCACGUAGGCGGUUCGUUAUGUCGGAUGUGAAAGCCCUUGGCUUAACCGAGGAAGUGCAUCCGAAACUGGCGAGCUAGAGUACUAAAGAGGAUCGCGGAAUUCCCGGUGUAGAGGUGAAAUUCGUAGAUAUCGGGAGGAACACCGGUGGCGAAGGCGGCGAUCUGGGUAGAUACUGACGCUGAGGUGCGAAAGCGUGGGGAGUAAACAGG